AGGUGCGUAACGAGACUGACUACCUGUGCGUGCUGGCUGGUGGACUGCAAGUGGUACGUGCCCGGCAUUCCCGAGUCUCAGCAUGUGGAGGAAGGGGCGCGUCACCAGGACUCAAGGUCACGGGAAGCGAUUAGAGCGCUCUGGAAGAGGAGGACAAGAUCGGCCGCAGUAGCGUGAGGGAAUGCUUGCCUCCCUCCCGUCCCGCCCUCACUGCCACUGUCACCACCAACCCCGCCGCCGUCGCCGCCGUCGCUACUGAUGCUGCACGCCCUGCAUCACCUACCAGCUCAAGGCACCUCCAUCACCACCAGUAUAAACACACCUACUGUCGCCUCGUCCCCACUGUGACAUUUCUGCCCUCCUGCUGCUCCUAGCCCACCUCCUCCUCGGUUUUCGAUACUUUAAACAAGACAAGGAAGACAGCAACAGCAACAGCAACAAAAGCUGGCUGUGUUCAUAAAUUCCUGGAAGGUGCGAGCAGGCCGGAGCAACAAGACUGGGGAAGCAGCCGACGCCUCGCCACGCUGUGAAAGGGAGACGUUCGCGUGCUGUGCUGAGCUGAGCCGAGUAGAGGCAUCGAGUGUGCUGUGCUGGCGUGUGUGUGGUCGCUGAGAGAGAGAGGAAAGCAAGCAAGGUAGCAGUGUUUGUGGUUGGCUGACUGGUUGGCCGGCUGACUUCACACACACACACACACACACACACACACACACACACACACACACACACACACACACACUUAUCUCAGUCUCUCCCCUCUCCCUACUCUCACUCCGUAUCUAUAUCUCGUUUCUGUUUCGCUGCCACGAUACACAGGCACACCCUCGCCGAGACCUGACAAGCUCAUACAACACAAGACAGCUACACCAUUGUUGUCUUCGCGUCGCUACAACUGUCGUCUCUGUAGGUGUUGUCGUCGUUGCUGCUGCUGUUGCUGUUCAUGGUGGAGACAGGACCAUAGCUGUGCCUGGUCGCUUGUGUCUGUUUGUCUCCGUGUCAUAUUUUUCCCUAUCCCGUUUCUUUGAGAUCAGGAGUAAGGCCGGCAGGUACUGAAUCCUUCCUUUUCCUUCUCGUCCUUCACUCAACGCAUCUCAGAGUACGUAUACGCAUCCCUCCACCUAAAUCCCAACGCCUCCUCCCCUCAGCCCGUCCAGGACCAUUCCACCACUCGUCCCUCUGCCUGUCCCUCCCUCUCCCUCCCGGCAGUCUCCAAGGCGAUGGUGAUGCCUGUGGUGAGUGCGUGUGCCUGCGUGCGCCUGUCAUGGUGACCAAUGCCUUGAGUCGCCUCGCCACUUUAUGCUGUGUCAUUUAGCCUCGCCGCUGCGCCUUUCUUCUCUUUUUUCUUCUCCUGUUUCUGAUUUACAUCCUUCUAUUUCUACUACAGGUGUUUCUCAUCCUCGUACUCUUGUCACUUCUGCUACUAUUGCUACUGCUAGAAAUUCAUAGCAGCUCGCAACGCCGCAGUAUUGCCCUCGCUUUUUUCUUCUUCCCUCCUCGUCUCCAGAAGUCAGAGAUUGGUCUCAGAGUCGCCUAAAGCUGCACUAUAUAGAUCAGUCUUGCCUUGAGGGGUUUUGGUUUCGCCUGCGUUAAUUGAUGUAAUUAUUAUUGUUGGAAGCCUCAGAGUUGGCAUACUGUACUGUCAUUAUUAGCACCCUUCUCUGGCCAUCAGCUUUGUUAUAACUCAGCCAUUUCAGCGUUAGCACUUGUAUUUACUCCUUCACUUUAUUGUUGUUGUUCUUGUUGUCACUGUUGUUGUUGCUGGUGCCGGGCUGUCAAUUUUGUUUUUCUUGUAUGUGAGGCGGUAUAGUUCUCCUUAUUAUCAUUAGUGUUGCUUUUCUUUCUUAGCAUUAUUAGAUUGAAAGGUCUGCGUUUGGCUGUGAUAUCGAGACCAAACUGUGCUUGAGUGAAGGUGUGCUGUGUGUGUGUGCGUGUGCGUGGUGGUGAGGAAGUACUGAAGUUCAGGCCACUCUCCCAUGCCCCGGUCCAUCCUUCCCUCCUUCUGGCGUCCCCAACCCCGGCCUGGCCUCCACCACCACCUGCUGUAGACAUAUCACGGAAGGUACACGGAGAUACACCUGCACGAGACAGAAAGUAAUAACACAGGGUCAGGGGGAGCAGAGAGAGAGAGAGAGAGAGAGAGAGAGAGAGAGAGAGAGAGAGAGAGAGAGAGAGUGGAUGUUUGUUGCUAUCAGCUGGUCUCACUGGUGAAGGGUCGUUUCUAUCACUUGACACACACACACAUACGUUCUCAAGUAUACACACUCACAUAUAUACACACAAAUACGUAUCAGCUACCACCGAUCAAGCGAGACUAUAGUAGCAGAAAAAAAAAAUAUAUAUAUAUAUAUAUAAUAGAGAAAUAGGAGUAAUUAUAAGGAUAACUAUACGCUGAGAAGAAAAAAAUCAGUAUUACAACAGACUUGCGUCGUAUGUUAAAGGAAGCGACGCAGCGCCUUAUAUGCCAAACUUGUGUAUAAAAGAUAAAUAAAAGUCCCCCAGGAGAAACAGAAAACGGGUGAAAAAAGAAUCGAGAAACAUGUGCCUGUGAUAAAAGUGGAGAGAAAAAAAGAAAGAAAAGAGAGACAAAAGAGAAAGUGAAUAUCUACCAAGAAAGAAAGAAAGCAAAAAGGAACGGGAGUGUGGCGGAUACAGUAUUGCUAUCCCACUGACUGCCCAUCGCCGCCCCCACACCCUCACCCUCACACCACGCUUCCCGCGAUUCAUGCGCAUCAAGAGCGUUAUUUUCUUCCCCGCGCCUCGCCCCACACCACGACUGGCGGCUGGACAGGGCGGAGCAGUAACUAUCGUGUGGUUGAGAACAGUUCACUCACCGCAGGAAACUCAAUACAAGUCAAUAAAACUCGUCACAGGUUGACUUAGUGCUUUGAUUCUCGUUGUUGUUGUGCUGUUGUUCUUAUUGUUGUUGGAAAGAGUGUCUGCAUGUGAAGACGACUCGCGUGCAGCCGUCGCCAGCCAGUAGCAGCACCAACAACAGCCGCAGCAGGUAGAGAAAGGAGUCAUUAGUCAGUGCCUCCGCCGCGCGCAAGGUCACGUGUGUUUGAGGAAGGAUUUGCUCGAGUCAUCAUUUAUCACUCGACUUGGAGGGGGUCGAGGGUGCGGGCCGGAGCGCGGGUCACGUCGGAGGCAGGAGAAGGAGGAGGAGGAAGAGGAGGACGAGAGGGAGGAGAGACGUGAGGCAAGUGAAGAGAAGGAAGAGGAAAA